AGCGAACGCUGGCGGCAGGCCUAACACAUGCAAGUCGAACGAACCUUUCGGGGUUAGUGGCGGACGGGUGAGUAACACGUGGGAACGUGCCUUUAGGUUCGGAAUAACUCAGGGAAACUUGUGCUAAUACCGAAUGUGCCCUUCGGGGGAAAGAUUUAUCGCCUUUAGAGCGGCCCGCGUCUGAUUAGCUAGUUGGUUGAGGUAAUGGCUCACCAAGGCGACGAUCAGUAGCUGGUCUGAGAGGAUGAUCAGCCACAUUGGGACUGAGACACGGCCCAAACUCCUACGGGAGGCAGGAAUGGGGGAUCUUGCGGAAUGGGCGGAAGCCUGACGGAGCCAUGCCGCGUGAAUGAUGAAAGUCUUAGGAUUGUAAAAUUCUUUCACCGGGGACGAUAAUGACGGUACCCGGAGAAGAAGCCCCGGCUAACUUCGUG
rnacentral:rRNA from 1 species